GACGAACGCUGGCGGCGCGCUUAACACAUGCAAGUCGAGCGAGAACCGGCCUUCGGGCCGGGGAAAGCGGCGAACGGGUGAGUAACACGUGGGUAAUCUGCCCUCGGCACCGGGAUAGCCCGGGGAAACCCGGAUUAAUACCGGAUGGCCCUUUGAGUCCUCGGAUUCAAAGGAAAAGGUAGCUUCGGCCUCCGGCCGAGGAUGAGCCCGCGGCGGAUUAGCUUGUUGGUUGGGUAACGGCCUACCUAGGCGACGAUCCGUAGCUGGUCUGAGAGGACGAUCAGCCACACUGGGACUGAGACACGGCCCAGACUCCUACGGGAGGCAGCAGUGGGGAAUCUUGCGCAAUGGGCGAAAGCCUGACGCAGCGACGCCGCGUGAGGGAAGAAGGCCUUCGGGUUGUAAACCUCUUUCAGGAGGGACGAAGCCACUCGGGUUAAUAGCCCAGAGGGUGACGGUACCUCCAGAAGAAGCCCCGGCUAACUACGUGCCAGCAGCCGCCGCCGUAA
rnacentral:rRNA from 1 species